rnacentral:tRNA from 1 species
UAAGAUUUGCAGGACUCUAUCCUACAUAAUCUGAAUGCAACCCAGACACUUUAAUUAAGCUAAAACCUU